rnacentral:tRNA from 1 species
AGUGAUGGCUUAGUGGUAGAGCGCUUGCCUAGCAUGUAUGAGGCACUGGGUUUGAUUCUCAGCACUG